rnacentral:tRNA from 1 species
UCCCUGAUGGUCCAGUGGUUAGGACUCGGCACUUUUAGUGUCAGGGGCCAAAGUUCAGUUCCUGGUUGGGGAG